rnacentral:rRNA from 1 species
GAUGAACGCUGGCGGCGUGCCUAAUACAUGCAAGUCGAGCGAACGGACGAGAAGCUUGCUUCUCUGAUGUUAGCGGCGGACGGGUGAUUAACACGUGGAUAACCUACCUAUAAGACUGGGAUAACUUCGGGAAACCGGAGCUAAUACCGGAUAAUAUUUUGAACCGCAUGGUUCAAAAGUGAAAGACGGUCUUGCUGUCACUUAUAGAUGGAUCCGCGCUGCAUUAGCUAGUUGGUAAGGUAACGGCUUACCAAGGCAACGAUGCAUAGCCGACCUGAGAGCGUGAUCGCACACACUGGAACUGAGACACGGCCCAGACUCCUACGGGAGGACGCAGUAGGGAAUCUUACGCAAUGGGCGAAAGCCUGACGGAGCAACGCCGCGUGAGUGAUGAAGGUCUUCGGAUCGUAAAACUCUGUUAUUAGGGAAGAACAUAUGUGUAAGUAACUGUGCACAUCUUGACGGUACCUAAUCAGAAAGCCACGGCUAACUACGUG